rnacentral:rRNA from 1 species
UACGUAGGUGGCGAGCGUUGUCCGGAUUUACUGGGCGUAAAGGGAGCGUAGGCGGAUUUUUAAGUGAGAUGUGAAAUACUCGGGCUCAACUUGAGUGCUGCAUUUCAAACUGGAAGUCUAGAGUGCAGGAGAGGAGAAUGGAAUUCCUAGUGUAGCGGUGAAAUGCGUAGAGAUUAGGAAGAACACCAGUGGCGAAAGCGGCUCUCUGGCCUGUAACUGACACUGAGGCUCGAAAGCGUGGGGAGCAAACAGG